rnacentral:rRNA from 1 species
UACGUAGGGUGCAAGCGUUAUCCGGAAUUAUUGGGCGUAAAGAGCUCGUAGGCGGUUUGUCGCGUCUGCCGUGAAAGUCCGGGGCUCAACUCCGGAUCUGCGGUGGGUACGGGCAGACUAGAGUGCAGUAGGGGAGACUGGAAUUCCUGGUGUAGCGGUGAAAUGCGCAGAUAUCAGGAGGAACACCGAUGGCGAAGGCAGGUCUGCUGGCUGUAACUGACGUGAG